rnacentral:rRNA from 1 species
UACGUAGGGUGCAAGCGUUGUCCGGAAUUAUUGGGCGUAAAGAGCUCGUAGGCGGUCUGUCGCGUCUGCUGUGAAAAUCCGGGGCUCAACCCCGGACUUGCAGUGGGUACGGGCAGACUAGAGUGUGGUAGGGGAGACUGGAAUUCCUGGUGUAGCGGUGAAAUGCGCAGAUAUCAGGAGGAACACCGAUGGCGAAGGCAGGUCUCUGGGCCACUACUGACGCUGAGAAGCGAAAGCAUGGGGAGCGAUCCGG